CUCCAAAUUUUUUCUUUUAACGUUAGAGUUCUAAGCAUGAAUAUUCUCCGAAGCUCUAACGAUAACCAAGCCCCGGAGACACGGUCGAAGCAUGCCCGCCCCAUGUGCGUCUUUCACGACAUGCUCUUGUUCCGGGUGUCUUCCUGUGGUCUUCUAGCGUUAGAAGAAGUCGUGUCCAUCCCGGACAUCUGCAACGUCCUCCCACGC
rnacentral:lncRNA from 1 species